GUGACCUCAACUCAGGCAAGACUACCUGCUGAACUUAAGCAUAUCAGUAAGCAGAGGAAAAGAAAACAACUGUGAUUCCCUUAGUAACUGCGAGUGAAGCGGGAAAAGCCCAUCGUUUAAUCUUCCCGGACCAUGGACGGGACGAAAUGUAACGGUAUGGAUAGGUUCUCUACCAACAAUGUCUGAUCAAAGUCCUCCGGAUUGAGGUGCCAAAGAGGGUGACAGCCCCGUGUGUGAUUGGAUGGCGUUGGGUAUGUGGCCGAUUCCGAGAGUCGGGUUGUUUGGGACUGCAACCUAAAGCAGGUGGUAAACUCCACCCAAGGCUAAAUAUUGACACGAAACCGAUAGCGAACAAGUACUGUGAAGGAAAGUUGAAAAGAACUCUGAAAAGAGAGUUAAAAGUACGUGAAACCGCUAACGGGGAAGCGGAAGGCAGUGUCGAGAUUGAGUGAGUGAGUUGGUUCAAGUGCGUUUGGUGUGUCGUGUUGGCGGUGUGUAAUGUGUGCUUGGAUCGGCUAGCUUUGCUUGAUGCGUCAGGACUAUUGGUGUGCGAUGGUUCAAUCGUUGGCAUGGCUGUCACGGAACAGUCAAAUGUUUCGUGGUUGCGGCUGGUGAUCCGCCUCGUGUGCUGAUAUGUGUGUGAUGGAGCGUUGGUGAUGUAUGAUCGGUUGGUGCUGUGCGGCGUUUCGUGCUGGUCACAUUGUGGCUACGUGCGGAAAAGUUGUAUGGUAGUUCAACAACCAGUGCUAGCUCCUGACGUGAUACCUAACUUUCCGACCCGUCUUGAAACACGGACCAAGGAGGCAGAAUCUAGAGCGAGUUGGAGGGUGUAAAACCCGACGGCGCAGUGAAAGCGAGAGAUGAGAUCCGGGGGUCUCGGCCCUGGGAGCAUCAUCGGCCAGUCACUUUGUGAUUGAGUUUGAGCUGUAGAUGCUGGACCCGAAAGAUGGUGAACUAUGCGUGAGCAGGGCGAAGCCAGAGGAAACUCUGGUGGAGGCUCGAAGCGAUUCUGACGUGCAAAUCGAUCGUUUGACUUGCGUAUAGGGGCGAUAGACUAAUCGAACCAUCUAGUAGCUGGUUCCCUUCGAAAUAUCCCUCAGGAUCGCUGAGACAAGUGGGAGACAGUUUCAUCGGGUAGAGCGAAUGAUUAGAGGAAUCGGGGAUAUAUUACUCUCGACCUAUUCUCAAACUUCCAACCGGUGAGAGUGCUGUUUACUUGAUUGAAACGGGCACGCGGAAUGUCUUUGUCUCAAGUGGGCCAUUUUUGGUAAGCAGAACUGGCGAUGCGGGAUGAACCGAGAGUUGAGCUAAGGUGCCUAACGACACGUUGAUAGAUACCACAAAAGGAGUCGGUCGAUAAAGACAGCAGGGCGGUGGCCCUGAAAGUAGGAAUCCGCUAAGGAAUUGUCUAAAAACUCACCUGCCGAAUCGACCGGCCCUGAAAAUGGAUGGCGCUGAAGCGUGUGACCGAUGCUCGACCUCUACCACGAGAGAUGUUGGUAGGGGGUAGAAGGGCGCGGCGGUAGCGACAAAGUACAAAGUGUAAACUUGUAUGGAGCUGCCGUCGGUGUAGAUCUUGGUGGUAGUAGCAAUUAUAAAAGUGAAAACCUUUUAGGCCGAAGUGGAGAAGGGUUCCACGUGAACAGCAGUUGGACGUGGGUUAGUCGGUCCUAAGCGGUUGCCUAACGGCUAGUGAAAAGCCAACUUAUGGUCGCACUGUGUGUGGCUGGAUAUAGGUUGGAAUCCGCGAAAGGGAAUCAGGUUAAUAUUCCUGAACCGGGCUAUGGAGACGCUGCCUUGUGCGUUAUUGCCAAUUCGUUGGUAGUGGCGUUGGGGUAGCUUAGCGGUAACGCAAACAAUCUCGGAGACGUUGACAUCUAUGGCGGGGAGAAUUAUCUUUUCUGCAUAACAGGUAAAUCACCUUGGAAUCGAGUCAUUCGGAGAUAAGGUAAAAAGCCUGGAAGAGCACCGCAACUAUUGCAGUGUCCGCAGUGUAGGUGUCGGCCCUUGAAAAUCCGAGGGAGUGGAUAAAUUUCAUGCCCGUCCGUACCGAAUCCGCAUCAGGUCUCCUAGGUGAGCAGCCUCUGGCACUGGAACAAUGUAGGUAAGGGAAGUCGGCAAAAUAGAUCCGUAACUUUGGGAAAAGGAUUGGCUCUAAGGGCCGGGCCAAUCGAGCUAGUAUUGCCUAGGCUAGUGGGGGCUUGACUGGGUUUGCUUGGGGGCAACUCUGAGUAGGCUUGGUCUUGCAAACGCUGGCCAUGGAAUGCCGGCGUGAAUUUCGGUCGGCUGAGCGGCCGCAAGGUUUGUUCAGUUGAUGGGGUUCUUUACGAGUGGCAAGCAUCGGUCAGCUUAGAACUGUUACCAACUUGGGGAAUCCGACUGUUUAAUUAAAACAAAGCAUUGCGAUGGCCGGAAACGGUGUUGACGCAAUGUGAUUU
rnacentral:rRNA from 1 species